UUACUACUCCCUCCGAUCCAUAUUAUUUGUCGCAGCUUUGUGUAGAUACGCAAGUAUCUGGACGCGUUUCAUUGUAUAGGUACAUACAUAUCUAGACAAAGUUACGACAAAUAAUAUGGAUCUGAGGAGUAGUAA
rnacentral:pre_miRNA from 1 species